rnacentral:rRNA from 1 species
CGACCGGCGCGCGGGUGAGUAACACGUAUCCAACCUGCCGUCUACUCUUGGACAGCCUUCUGAAAGGAAGAUUAAUACAAGAUGGCAUCAUGAGUCCGCAUGUUCACAUGAUUAAAGGUAUUCCGGUAGACGAUGGGGAUGCGUUCCAUUAGAUAGUAGGCGGGGUAACGGCCCACCUAGUCUUCGAUGGAUAGGGGUUCUGAGAGGAAGGUCCCCCACAUUGGAACUGAGACACGGUCCAAACUCCUACGGGAGGCAGCAUG